GCAGUGCAGGCGGCGGGCCGCGCAGAGUGAGAGGCUCUUUUGUUCGGCUGAGGGGAGGGCCGUUAGCGGGGCCUGCGGUACGCCGCUUCAGCGGGACGGUCGACUUGUGGCCACACGGCUCUUUGCUCCUCUGGGCGCGCUACUCCCCUCGGACCGCCCGACGCAACGCGCGAGUAGCGCGGCACCGAUUCCUCUCGGACUCUCGGGCGCUGCUACGAGCAGUGUCACCCUUCACACCAGAAAGCUGGCGGGUACUAUGGGGAAAAAGCAAAACAAGAAGAAAGUGGAGGAGGUACUAGAAGAAGAGGAAGAGGAAUAUGUGGUGGAAAAAGUUCUUGAUCGGCGAGUUGUCAAGGGCAAGGUGGAAUAUCUUCUAAAGUGGAAGGGUUUCUCAGAUGAGGACAACACUUGGGAGCCAGAAGAGAAUCUGGAUUGCCCUGACCUUAUUGCUGAGUUUCUACAGUCACAGAAAACAGCUCAUGAGACAGAUAAGUCAGAGGGAGGCAAGCGCAAAGCUGAUUCUGAUUCUGAAGAUAAAGGAGAGGAAAGCAAACCAAAGAAGAAGAAAGAAGAGUCAGAAAAGCCACGAGGCUUUGCCCGGGGUUUGGAGCCAGAGCGGAUUAUUGGAGCUACUGACUCCAGUGGAGAGCUCAUGUUCCUGAUGAAAUGGUGAGUCUCCUGGUGGCGCUGUGUUGUUUUUUUUCCUUCUCCCUAUCUGUUCUAUGCCAGAGGAAAAGAGCUGGACCUUCGAAAUUCCAGUCGCCCAGGUGUGAAAUCUUUAAGAUGACAUAGUCCUUCGAUAGUGACCCUCGGCCUGACUGCCAACCUGGACUCAUGAGUUACAGGAAAAACUCUGAUGAGGCUGACCUGGUCCCUGCCAAGGAAGCCAAUGUCAAGUGCCCACAGGUUGUCAUAUCCUUCUAUGAGGAAAGGCUAACGUGGCAUUCCUACCCCUCAGAGGAUGAUGACAAAAAAGACGACAAGAAUUAGCCCUGUUGAGUACCAGCCCCUGUCACCUCUGACUGUGGGUUUCAAGGGGGAGGGAAGGAGUUAUACUUGUCUUGACACCAUAGAGGUGGCUUGAGAAGAUGUCCUUUGAAGAGCCAGCAUAGUUUGUGUGUCCUGCAGCUGCCCAAGUGCUUUAAAUUGUUCAAGCUGUGUAGUUUGCACACCCAUCCCAGUGGAGGGGAAAGGGUAAGUGUUUCAAGGCAACCUGUUCUGCGCUUUGCUAAGGAAGCAGUUGGCCUUCCAUGAAGGACAAAACCUGCAGAACUGGGGUGUGGGAAAGCAAAGAUACUGUCGAUCUUCAAAGAGCAUCUCCACAACCCACAGCCUUCUUCCCGAUAGUGUUAACUGCAUUUUUACAGCCUAGCAUGUGUGUAGUUUUUGGCUAUUACUGGUAUAUUAAUUGGGGGUGGGAGGGUUGGGGCAGGGAGGAAGGGAGAUGGGUAGAAUCAUUUUGGUUAAAAUUUGGGGCCUGAUUGGGGAAAUGAUGAAAUAGUAGAACAGCUAACUAAUAAAUUGGUUCUGUGUCCAGAAUAUUUUGCCUUUUCAAAAAAAAUGUCAUUGGCACCAUAAGUAAGGACUAUGAGAGACUGUUAAAAAAAAAAAAAAAAAAAAAAAAAAGUCUGUUAAUCCUAAAACCUACAGCCAAGGUGCUCCCAGCCUGAGCUCAAAGUGGCCCACAAAGGACAAAGCCAGUUCUGAGUUACCAAAGCUGCCAUUUGAUGAUGGAAACUGACUGGAGAGGGAAAGGUUACAGGAGAGUAUAUAGAGGCAGACUACUCUGCCAUAGAGGUGCUAAUUCUUGAAAUUGGAGAAAAAAAAAACUUUUUCCAAUUACAAAGUUAUAUCAGUUUGUCCAUCUAAGCCAUUGGCUCAAGUAUUGCAGGAUGGCCUAUGGGAGAUGGAAGAGAAGGGCCUUUGCUCUUAGGGUAGAAACUCUUAGAGCCCCUCUCUCUCUUUCUUUUUUUUUUUUCUUUCUUUCUUUUCUAUUUUUGUUUUUUUUUUAAUUUUUUUUUUUUAUUUUCAGCUUUGAACCCUGAAACUGCUUGUGGCAGGUUCAGUUACUGACAGCACAAAUUCCAUUGAGUCAAUUCAAGGAUUGAAUGACUUCACAAGCCCUGGUCUCAGGAGAUUAACUUUCAUAUUGGGGUAGUGGUUCACUUGAGAAUACAAAAUCUUCAGAUUAACUGAUGUCCAAAAUACUGUCUUGAAUCAUGAGAUCCAUCAAUUUUUAGUAUUGUCUAGACCUACAAAUAGAACUACAUUGUAAAAUCUUUUUCAGCAUGUGUUAAGAUGUAUGUGAAAAUUUCUGUUUAAGUUUAAAGUUCAUACCAUACUGUCAGUUUUUGUCUUAAUAAAAUUAUAGAUUUCUAA